ACACUCCUGCGGGAGGCAGCAGUGGGGAAUUUUGGACAAUGGGCGAAAGCCUGAUCCAGCAAUGCCGCGUGAGUGAAGAAGGCCUUCGGGUUGUAAAGCUCUUUUGUCAGGGAAGAAACGGUGAAAGCUAAUAUCUUUUGCUAAUGACGGUAACUGAAGAAUAAGCACCGGCUAACUACGUGCCAGCAGCCGCGGUAAUACGUAGGGUGCAAGCGUUAAUCGGAAUUACUGGGCGUAAAGCGUGCGCAGGCGGUUUUGUAAGUCUGAUGUGAAAUCCCCGGGCUCAACCUGGGAAUUGCAUUGGAGACUGCAAGGCUAGAAUCUGGCAGAGGGGGGUAGAAUUCCACGUGUAGCAGUGAAAUGCGUAGAUAUGUGGAGGAACACCGAUGGCGAAGGCAGCCCCCUGGGUCAAGAUUGACGCUCAUGCACGAAAGCGUGGGGAGCAAACAGGAUUAGAUACCCUUGUAGUCCCAUG
rnacentral:rRNA from 1 species